CGAAAUAAUUUGAGCUAAAUAAUUAGUUUUGAUAGAGAGAAUGAUGCGCGUUGUAAAGCGCAAUUUCAAUACUUAUUUAGGGGUGAAAGGCCUAACAAAAAUUAAGAUAUCUUGAUACCAUAAAAAAGUAUUUAGUACUUAAAACAAAUAUAAAGUGACUAGGCUUUAUAUUCGUAUAAUGUUUAGUUUGGUAAUGUAAGGGUAUAAUCAUCCAUUGCUUUCAACUCCUAUUACACUUAUUAAAAGUAUGUACUUCUUAUGUGGUUUUAUAUAAACUUUAAUAUAUAUAUAGAUAAUGUUUACAUAAGUACUUUUAGGAGGCCUAAAUAAUGAACUCGGCAAAAUUUUUCUUCAACUGUUUAACAAAAACAUAACUAUAUGAGCUUUAUAUAUAGCUAUUUCUGCUCAAUGUGUGUAUAAAUAGCCGCAGUACUUUGACUGUGCAAAGGUAGCAUAAUCAAUUGACUUAUAAUUGAAGUCUGGAAUGAAGGAAUCUAUGGGGAAAUACUGUUUCUUUUGGGUUUAUGGAAAUUGUUUAGUAGGUGAAAAUGCCUAUAACUAAAAAAUAGACGAGAAGACCCUAGAAAUUUUGAUUAAUAGUAUAAAGGUUUCCUUUUUGUUGGGGCGACAUAGUAGCAUAUUUUAAAACCUACUUUAAAUAUAAGGAUUAAUUAUGAAGUAUAAAUAAAUUACUCUAGGGAUAACAGCAUAAUAUUAAAAAGUUUGUGACCUCGAUGUUGGACUAGGAAAGUAUAGUUUAGAAGACUAUUAUAUAAGCUCUGUU
rnacentral:rRNA from 1 species